AUUUUCCCAAUUACAUACCUUCUAGUCCAACGGCUACUUUUUGUCCGAUGACAAGAGAAUACAAUUUAUGGCUCUGAGUCUUUCCCUCCUUAGAAAUGAAUUUCCCGCGAGUGCUUUCAAAUUUCUCACUGUCUAUUCUUCUUCUUUGGGUAUCCAUACAAACACCUUCUUCGGCAAUGACCAUUUCUACUGUGGCUUCGACCCUGUCACUUCCUACGCAUCUCUGGUUGAUAAUUCAGUCCACGAAAGCCACUUAAAUCAAAUUCAUGCCCAGUUAUUAGUAUCUGCAUUGCAGUAUAGUGGUUUCCUGAUUACUAAACUCGUUAAUUGUAGUAUGAAUCUGGGUGGAAUUUGCUAUGCGCGUAAGGUGUUUGAUUGUUUUCCUGACCCAGAUGUGUUUUUGUGGAAUGCGAUCAUUAGAUGUUAUUCGAGACACAGUUUGUUUGGUGAUGCUAUUGAAAUGUAUUCGAGAAUGCAAAUGGCAUGGGUGAGUCCUGAUGGUUUCACUUUCCCUCUUGUCCUCAAAGCUUGUAGUGCCCUGCUGGCACUUGAUGUGGGCCGGAGGGUACAUGGGCAGGUUUUCAGGUAUGGAUUUGAAGCUGAUGUGUUUGUACAGAAUGGCCUUGUUGCAUUUUAUGCAAAAUGCGGUCAGAUUCUGAAAGCUAAUGUUGUUUUUGAUGGGUUAAGUGAUAGGACAAUUGUUUCUUGGACUUCUCUAAUUUCUGGGUAUGCACAGAAUGGGGAGCCUGUUGAAGCUUUGAGAAUUUUCAGUCAAAUGAGAAAAAUGAAUGGCAAACCUGAUUGGAUUGCUCUCGUGAGUGUUCUUAAGGCAUAUACAGAAGUAGAGGACUUGGAACAUGGCAAAUCCAUUCAUGGUUUUGUUAUUAAAAUGGGCCUUGAAUUUGAGAUUGAUUUGCUCAUCUCACUAACUGCCAUGUAUGCAAAAUGUGGGCAGGUUAGAUUUGCUAGGAUGUUUUUCGAUCAGGUGGAUGUCCCAAAUUUGAUCUUGUGGAAUGCAAUGAUUUCUGGUUAUGCAAAGAAUGGUUAUGCUGAGGAAGCUUUGGAGCUCUUUCGUCAUAUGAUAACUAAGAACUUCAGACCAGAUUCUAUUACUGUGACUUCUGGCAUCUUGGCUUGUGCUCAAAUGGGAUCUCUUAAAUUAGCAAGAUGGAUGAGUGAUUAUGUCAGUAGGACUGAAUUUAGAAAAGAUGUUUUUGUUAACUCUGCCCUCAUUGACAUGUUUGCAAAAUGUGGUAGUGUUGAUUUGGCUCGCAGUGUUUUUGAUAAAUCACUGGAUAAAGAUGUCGUUCUGUGGAGUGCAAUGAUUGUGGGAUAUGGAUUGCAUGGUUGUGGCCAAGAAUCCAUUGAUCUUUUUGAAGCAAUGAGGCAAGCUGGGGUUUGCCCAAAUGAUGUCACUUUUGUUGGGCUCCUCACAGCAUGCAAAAAUUCAGGUCUUGUGGAAGAAGGAUGGAAACUUUUCCAUCACAUGAGGGACUAUGGAAUUGAACCACGCCACCAGCAUUAUGCCUGUGUGGUUGAUCUUCUUGGCCGUAAAGGGUAUUCAGAUCGAGCUUAUGGUUUUAUCAGAAAUAUGCCAAUUGAACCAGGUGUAAGUGUAUGGGGAGCUCUUCUGAGCGCAUGCAAGAUCCAUCACAAUGUGACACUAGGAGAGUAUGCUGCUGAGCAGCUUUUCUCAUUAGAUCCAUUUAACACGGGGCAUUAUGUUCAGCUGUCAAAUCUUUAUGCCUCAGCUCGCUUGUGGGAUCGUGUUGUGAAGGUACGAGUGUUAAUGAGGCAGAAAGGACUGGGCAAGGACGUGAGCCACAGUGUAAUUGAGAUCAAUGGAAAGCUUCAGGCGUUUCAAUUUGGAGAUAGAUCACAUCCAAGAUCCAAUGAGAUUUUUGAGGAGCUUCAGAAUUUAGAAAGAAAGUUAAAAGAAGCUGGAUUUUCUCCGCAUAAAGAAUCUGUUCUGCAUGAUUUGAAUGAUGAAGAAAUUGAAGAAACACUUUGUAAUCAUAGUGAAAGGCUAGCAAUUGCUUAUGGGCUUAUCAGUACUCCUCCAGGAACUAAACUUAGGAUAACGAAGAAUCUUCGAGCAUGCGUAAACUGCCAUGCAGCAACCAAGUUUAUAUCAAAGCUUGUAAAUAGGGAGAUAGUUAUCCGGGAUACAAAUCGUUUUCAUCAUUUUAAGGAU
rnacentral:misc_RNA from 1 species